GAUGAAGAACGCAGCGAAAUGCGAUAAGUAAUGUGAAUUGCAGAAUUCAGUGAAUCAUCGAAUCUUUGAACGCACAUUGCGCCCGCUAGUAUUCUGGCGGGCAUGCCUGUCCGAGCGUCAUUUCAACCCUCAAGCCCCCGGGCUUGGUGUUGGGGAUCGGCGAGCCUCCGCGCCCGCCGUCCCCUAAAUCUAGUGGCGGUCUCGCUGUAGCUUCCUCUGCGUAGUAGCACACCUCGCACUGGGAAACAGCGCGGCCACGCCGUUAAACCCCCAACUUCUGAACGUUUGAACUCGGAUCAGGUAGGAAUACCCGCUGAACUUAAGCAUAUCAAUAAGCGGAGGA
rnacentral:misc_RNA from 1 species